rnacentral:tRNA from 1 species
GCGAGAGUGGCGGAAUUGGUAGACGCGCUGGACUUAGGAUCCAGUGGCUUUUGCUGUAGGGGUUCGAGUCCCCUCUCUCGCACCA